UAGGGUUAGGUUUAUAGGGUUAGGGUUAUAAGGUUAGGUUAAGGGUUAUAGGGUUAGAUUUAGGUAAGGGUUAGAUUAAUAGGGUUAGGGUUAUAAGGUUAGGUUAAGGGCUAUAGGGUUAGAUUUAGGUAAGGGUUAGAUUAAUAGGGUUAGGCCUAUAGUUUAGGGUUAGUGUAAGGGUUAUAGGGUUAGAUUAAUAGGGUUAGGGUUAUAAGGUUAGGUUAAGGGCUAUAGGGUUAGAUUUAGGUAAGGGUUAGAUUAAUAGGGUUAGGCCUAUAGGUUAGGGUUAGUGUAAGGGUUAUAGGGUUAGAUUAAUAGGGUUAGGGUUAUAAGGUUAGGUUAAGGGCUGCAGGGUUAGGUGUGAGAGGGCACCUGGAGGUGGUGCCGCCUUUAGGGGGUGUGGGGGACAGAGCUCGGCUCAGCCAUGUGAUAUCAGCAGGGGACGGCGUCGCGAUCCUCGUGGCUGCGGCCACGGCUCAGCAUGAGAGCGAAGGGCGCCGGGAGGCAGGCGUGGAUUACAUGGGAGCGACGGGAUCAAACUGCAGAGCUGCUCCGGAUCUCCAAGUCCGAUUCGGCACAGCAUCAAUGCGUGCAACUCUGGGGAGUUCUUUGGAACUGGGCUGCUCCCAAUCGGCGGCCAUUCCUACACACCGAGGCUGCGCUCCUGCUGCAGCCUCCUUCUGCUGCCUGCCUCCAUCACCCCAUGCAGCAGGGAAGGGAGAGCAGGGCUGCAAUCUCGUGCUUCAGAAGCAAAAAGGCGAGAACCAGCUAACGCACAAUUGCAAGACGCUCCGCGGAUUUAGUUCUGACAGAGCUGUUUUCACAGCCCGGUUUAGCCGAUAAGCUGCACGCUGGGCUUAACCCUCGGGGUGCUAAGAGAUGCUCUUGAUAAUAAAACCCAAAGGAGUGGGAA